rnacentral:misc_RNA from 1 species
GAAAUGCGAUAAGUAAUGUGAAUUGCAGAAUUCAGUGAAUCAUCGAAUCUUUGAACGCACAUUGCGCCCCCUGGUAUUCCGGGGGGCAUGCCUGUCCGAGCGUCAUUACAACCCUCAAGCUCAGCUUGGUAUUGGGCCCCGCCGACCCGGCGGGCCCUAAAGUCAGUGGCGGUGCCGUCCGGCUCCGAGCGUAGUAAUUCUUCUCGCUCUGGAGGUCCGGUCGUGUGCUCGCCAGCAACCCCCAAUUUUUUUCAGGUUGACCUCGGAUCAGGUAGGGAUACCCGCUGAACUUAA